CAUUCUCAGGGCGGGGUGGAAUUCCCCACCGGCGGUGAAAGCCCGCGAGCGCCACCUCCACCAGGUGGGUCAGCAGAUCCGGUGUGAUUCCGGAGCCGACGGUCACAGUCCGGAUGGGAGAGAAA
rnacentral:ncRNA from 1 species